UACGUAGGGGGCUAGCGUUGUCCGGAAUCAUUGGGCGUAAAGCGCGUGUAGGCGGCCCGAUAAGUCCGCUGUGAAAGUCCAGGGCUCAACCCUGGGAUGCCGGUGGAUACUGUCGGGCUCGAGUCCGGAAGAGGCGAGUGGAAUUCCUGGUGUAGCGGUGAAAUGCGCAGAUAUCAGGAGGAACACCAAUGGCGAAGGCAGCUCGCUGGGACGUGACUGACGCUGAGACGCGAAAGCGUGGGGAGCAAACAGG
rnacentral:rRNA from 2 species